AUGGUACCAAAGAAGGACAAAUCCUGGCGCCUAUGUGUCGACAUUAAAGAGCUCAACAAGGCUUGCCCCAAGGAUCCCUUUCCCCUCCCUUACAUCGAUCAAAUCAUCGAUGCCACAGCAGGACACGACUCGCUGUGUUUCCUCGACGCAUACUCUAGAUACCAUCAAAUAAAGAUGGCAGAGUCUGAUCAAGCUGCAACAGCUUUCAUAACGCCAUAUGGCCCUUUUUGCUUCAACACUAUGCCUUUCGGGCUUAAGAAUGCCGGCGCAACCUAUCAAUGCAUGAUUCAAACAUGCCUGGAAAAGCAAAUCGGCAAAACAGUGGAGGCAUACGUGGACGACGUGGUCAUAAAAACAAGACACGUCGAAACCCUAAUAGAUGACUUGAGGCUUACAUUUGAUAACCUCCGGACAUACGACAUCAAGCUGAACCCGGAAAAAUGUGUUUUCGGCGUCCCCUCGAGGAAACUGUUGGGCUUCAUUGUUUCCAAUAGAGGAAUUGAAGCGAAUCCGGCAAAAAUCCGAGCUCUGUCGCAGUUGGCUAUACCAACAGACCUCAAGCGCAUCCAAAAACUGGUUGGAUGCGUGGCUUCUUUGAGCCGCUUUAUCUCCAGGUUAGGAGAAAAGGCAUUACCUCUUUACCGCCUUCUCCGGCGCACCGAACACUUCGUGUGA
rnacentral:rRNA from 1 species